UUAAGAAGAUGUAGGUUGGUCUGACAAUUGCGGGGGCGGGGGAGGCUGCCCAGCGCGCCUUUGGGGAACGGAAGGUCAGUACCCCAAGAGGCAGAGCGGGAUAAUUCGACUGGGGGUGAGUUGCCACCGGUCCUGAACACCUUUCUGCUCACAGGUCCAUCACUGCUCCUGGCAGAGUCAUGGCCCCACAGUGGCUCCAUGAACAGCACAGAUAAACACUGCUUCAACGGGUCGGGAUGAUGAAGGGUCAGCAGGGGCUAAGCUAGAGAUGUGCCUGCAAGGUCCAUUGGCGCCUCCAUCUCCUCCACAUUACGGAGCGGCCUCCACUCCACCUCCCCGUGAGCUCCAGCCCCUCCGUGGCUGAUUCUAGAAGGCUCUACACAGAUGCCUCCUCUUCCUCACCCCUCACUCACUACCACAGCUCUCCCACAGCUCCUUCUAAGAAGCUGUCCAGCGUGUGUCCCAGUGAGUUUCCUCUGCAUCCCUUCUGACAUCCAGACCAUGCACAGAGGGCCAGAUGUGUCCCUAAUCCUGAGGCCUGGAUCACAGAGGCCUGUCUGUGAUAUGGAUAGUGGCUUUACAAGAAGAGACAGAAGAGCUUACUCAGUUCCCCUGACCUGUGACCUUCUAGGUCACAGGGCACCAGGUGAGAGAUGUGGACUAUCUCCAAACCAGGAAGAAAGCUCUCUCCACAGAAUCAUGUUGGCCCAAAUCUCCACCUUGACCUGAUCUUGGACUGCAACCUCCAGAGCUGUGAGAAAAUACAUUUCUGCUCCUGAAGGCACCCAGUCGACGGUAUUUUGUUAUAGUGACCCAAGCUGACAAAUGUGCACACAGGGAGGAAGCAAUCGAUGGUGUGUGUGCGCUGCACUUGCUCUAAGAACCUUCUUGACAGAUCUGGUUGUGUGCACCCUGGCUGAGUCGGUGUUCAGUAGCGUCGUGAGAUUGGCAGGAAAUCAGCCACAGUGAAGAAUUUGCAUCCCAGGAGCCAGCAAAAGCUACAAGUUUGGGCUCUUCUCUCCAGACGGAAGGUCGUUAAGUGUUUAUCUGUGACCGCAGUGGACUGGCACUUCUCCAGCCCUGCUUCCACUCACCCUGAUGGACCUCUAGCUUGUCUCCAAACUCUCAAGGCUGCAAAGAGCCCUGCAGUGCCAACCUCUCACACAGGUCCCCACACUCAAGGUAAAGGCUGCUGGGGAUGUUGAGUGCCAACCUCUCACACAGGUCCCCACACCCAAGGUAAAGGCUGCUGGGGAUGUGGAGGGAGGCUCUGGGCGACAGUGAAGUUCGUAUCUAACAUCUGCUUGUUGCCAUACUGAGAAACAGUGCCCUCCUGCUGCAGGGCAUGAGUCUCUGCCACAAGAACUCAUAGAAGAUGCUAAUCUUCACACAGUGAAAUUUAUCAGCGCUGUCAUUCGUAUAUGUCACCUUCUGUCUCCUGUUGGGUCGAUACUCUCCAUAUCUUGAGCUGUGAGGGAGGUCGACAGAGUGUGUUCUGUCCAUGUUCACAGGUGAAGACAUGUGUUGGAGGGUUGAUCCAUCUCAAGCACACUAUUCUGCAGUUGAAGAGGGACCAUGCUACCUAUUUCCCCACGUGGAGAACCUCGGGUCCAGACUAUCCGUUAACAAUACAGCCCUUCCCCACUCACCUAUGGCAUCACUUAUCUUCUGCACCAGAUCCCUGUACAGAUGUGGGUCAACCUCUGGACUCUGUUCUGUUCCAUUAAUCUUUUUGUCUGAGUCACAUGACAGUACCACCCUGCUUAGGUAGUAUAGCUUUAUAGCAGUCGAUGUCUGAUAGUCCACAAGACCAUUUUGGCUUUUCUUCAGCAUUAUCUUAGCUACUCCUGGGCUUUUACUCUUCUGCCUCAAUUCCUAACCAUUCGGAUCUCAUUACAGGUGCUUUUGAGGGGCUGGAAAGAUGGCUCAGUGGUUACAAGCACAUAUUGCUCUUGCAGAGGACCCGCAUUCAUUCAGUCCCAGC